ensembl:lncRNA
AAUGACAGGGAAUUCCUUUCUCCUGGCACAUGUGCUGUCCCCCAGAGCUCAGGCAUGCUCCAAUGCACUGUUCAGGAUUCUCAUGUUUUUUCCUCCUGGAAGCCAUAAGAUUCCCUUCUUUAAACCCCAGUUUUCAGUGUGAGGAAGCAUUUUGGUUUGCCCCUGGUUGUGGAUGGAUUGUACAUUCCCAUGUCCAAACUGGAUAACAGAGCAGGACACUGUUCUCUGGGAUUUUUUCCUCCCAAAUAGUCGAGGGCUUUUUGUUUUUUUUUUCUUUUCCCUUCCCCAAACAGAAGAGUAACAAGGGUUUCUUAUUUUGGGAACAGAUUUGUAGUGUGGGAACCAUCUUCUGUGUCCUUCUGAGAGGUCACUUCUGCUGUCACAUGGUUCAUGGACAAGCAGAAAUGUCAGAUGGAUUUUUUGGAAUGGGAAUUUCCUUCUCCUGUCGGAGAGAUACUUUUUCUGUAGGGAGGGGAGAUUCCUUCAGACAGAAGGAUGAGGAAACCUCAAGAGUGAAGAAAUCUGGAUGGUUUGGGGCAGCUUUCAGACAGCACUCAGCCUGUUCCCAGUUUUAUUUGGUAAAAUGUGGAUAUUCUGAUUUACAGAUCCUGUCCCUGGUUUUGGAAUAGGGGUCUGAACAUCAGACCCAUCAUCUCCUGCUAUCUGGUGUUGAUUUCUCCCUCUGUUCCCUAAAGAAAUCCCUCAAUUCCCUCCCCCUCCCCAAAGGUGCCAACUGACAAGCAGAUGUACUGCAAAAGGGAUACUGCAGCCAAAACACUGCUGUUUUAUUUUGAAUUAAGUCUUGUGGAGCUCUCUUCAUGCUAGAAUAUUUUUAUUUUCUUUGUACAACAUACAAUCAUGUACUCUUAACAGAGAUUUACUUUAAAGAGAAGAAAAAAAAGAAAAAUCUGGAAGUAUUCUUUAAAAAAAAAAAUACACAAAAAUCUUUAUUAAUAAUCCUGUAUUUUUACUGAUCAUGUUUGAAUGUCUAAAAAGACUUUAUUGUUCUAAUUAUCCAGAUGUAUGUUUGUAAAAUAGCUCUUUUAUGACUUAGCUGAUCAGGUUGUAUGUUUCUGGAAUUAAAUAUUGGUCACUUAAAAAAAAAAUCUGUUUUCAGGAUCUGGGAAAUAGAAAAUUUAAGCGUUUCAAAUAUCAUUAAAUAAGCUUAAAGGAAAUAACCUUUUGUCUGGUGGAUUUUUUGGGGGAUUGGAAUUGCCUGGAGUGUUUGGCAGGACAGAGUGGUGAUGGCAAAGGAGAUUUUUUAGGGGCUUUUGUAGAGAUUGAAGUGCCUUGACUGAAUUUCUGCUGUUUAGUGAAUUAGUAAAUGAAUUAAUUUAGGCUUGUUCUAAAGUCAGAUGUGCCUCCUGAAAGAAUUGAAGCCCCAGAGCAGCGAAUAUUCAGUGUUUUUGUGCCCAUCACAUGCUGGAUUUGCACUUCUUCGCUCCUCUGGUUGGUGUUUGGUGAGGGCUGAACCCCCAGAGGUGUCUGAAUUUGGGGUGUAGAGAAUAUCCUGCUGAUCCAGGGCAAAAAAGAGCUCAGGAAUUGCAGUGCCAGGAGAGUGGGAGCUCCUUUGGGAGGUGUUUGGUUCUUGUCACACACGACACCGUGCAGGGAGAAGGUCCCUGUGCCAUCCCUGGGGUGCUGAAUCAGCACCAAACACCAACUGCAGGACCCCAAACCAACUUCCCACUCGAUCCAAACCCCCAAAGGCAGGAAACCAAACCGGUUUCCCUCUUGCUCCCAGCUCAGAGUGACCCCUCAGGACGUCCCCGUGGUGCCCUGGUGUGUCCUGCACCCCCUGGGGCUGCUCUGCCUGGAGCUGCAGCUGCCAAAUGGGACUUGCAAGUGGAAUUUUGCCCUUUCUCCUUGGGUGCAGCACGAUUUCUGUUGCCUGAUGUCUCACUCCUCGGGCCCUGACAGCAAUUUAAUGAACACUUUCACAAGCCCAGCCAAGCUGUCACUGCGAGGCUUUGGCUCAUCUGAUGCUGUUGGACAGUUAAAUCUGAGCUCUGAGCUCUGCUUUCAAUUCCCAGGCACUUCUGUGUUCUUUUCCUGCUCUGGGGGAUGUGGGGGAUGCUUUAGAGUUUUCCAGCAUUGCCAUUUGAAAGGAAACCAGAACCAUUAUUGAUUUUUUAAUUAAUUUAUAAGCUUGUUGUUUGUAAAACGGAAUUUGUUUGGAUUGGUUGGGAACUGUUGGUGUAGGAACAUGAUAUUUCCUUAUUAUGACAUUACUUUAUUAUGAUAUUCCCUUAUUAUGAUAUUCCCUUAUUAUAGUAUUCCCUCAUUAUGGUAUUACCUCAUUAUGGUAUUACCUCAUUAUGAUAUUACCUCAUUAUGAUAUUACCUUAAUUCAGCAUGAUAUUACCCCUCAGUAUCUUGCAAAUAUUUAUCAUUUGGGUGGUGUUGGACUCAUUUUUUCCCUGAAAUGAGGAAUUCUCUGCAAGUGUUUGCUGCCCAACCAGAGGCUGCAGCUUCAUAUCAAGUGUUAACUGAGUCUGUUGGGCUUAAACCAUAGCUUGCUUGUGAUUUUUAAUCUUAUAUAUGCUAAGAUUGCUCUGUUUUCCUAAAUUAGGAGUUUUUAGGUGAUGAAACUCCAGCCUGGUGCCUGCUUUUGGGACAGUGGGGACAGUGACCCCCAGGAGUUGUGUGACACCCCUUUGCCUGUCACUGGAGGCUUUUUAUUUCCAUUUUUUGCUGGAUAUUUCCCCCUCCACUGGGAUCAAAUAAAAAGUUACAAGGGAAGGGAAAGUAAAACUUG